rnacentral:lncRNA from 1 species
GACAGAUGCUGCUACAAAGAGACCAAUCAACAACUGCUCAGCAGAGAUACAGAUCUGAAGCACAGAAGUGCAAUAGACCUUCCUGAUGCCUUCGCCAGAGCAUGGAAUUCUUCCCAGAGUCACAGAAGACGGCACAGCCUGGGGACAAGUGGGAAUCACCUGGAGGAUGGCAAUGGGACCAUCUAGUUGCAGGAAAACAAGCUCAUGGACCUCACUGAUUCUGUUAUACAGAGGCAAAGCACAGCUUCAAGCAACAUGGCCAUGCUGGGGAACAUCUGGGAAAGAACAACAGAGACAACGGUCUGGCUUGCAGCGGUCAGGAAAUGAAGUGGUUCAUUCCUAGCAACGGACCAUUUUGUAUUUUGGAGGCAGAGAUAUAAACAAUGACAAGCUCUGUUAAAAGCAGCUGUAGUCACAAAUCUCCCAACAAGCUUCAUAUGUGCAAACUACAGGAAGGACUCCUGGUACCAUAUUGGGCUUCUCAGUCACACACAGAGAGUGGAGCAAUCACUGUCAGUAGUGUCAUCUUUGAAUACAAUGCAGAGCAAAGUGUUCAUGUUCCACUUGCCAUGUGCGUGAAGGUGGAAGAGAAAUGGGGUAGGGUCACUGACACCAGUUGGUCAUUUUUUUAGGCUGUUUUAUUAACUCUCUGCAAAAUCUGAACAAAAAUUUUAUCCUUAAACACAACUUUUUAAAUUUUAAGUAGAAAACAGCCUUCAAAUUAAAUCUACACCCAUUUUAUAGAUAAUCUCUACCUUUGGGUUUUAUUUUUUCUGAGUGUUCACUGAUUGGUUGUCAGGUUGUUUUGGUUAUCGCCUUCUCAUCUGAACAUUUUAUUGUGAAAGUGCAACAUGUGAAAUCUAGCAUGAUGUAUUAGACCUAUAAGUAAUCAGGGAAGAAUUUAGUUAAGCUGAUGGAUUCUUUGGAAAUAUGCAUAAAUAUUUAUAAAUUAUAGAGUUAAAUCCAGCUACAACACGAACCUGCAAGUAAUCAUCCGACCAACUUCCUCUACUGCUUGGGAAUUGCAGUUGUAUAAUCUUGGGAGGUCACUUCAACUAUACAAUUGGAC